AACAUCGCGCACCUGCGGGAACCUGCGGAAGGAUCAUUACAGAGUUGCAAAACUCCCUAAACCAUUGUGAACGUUACCUAAACCGUUGCUUCGGCGGGCGGCCCGGGUCCUUCCCGGCGCCCCUCGGCCCUCGCGGGCGCCCGCCGGAGGUAAACCAAACUAUUGCAUUGUAUGGCCUCUCUGAGUCUUCUGUACUGAAUAAGUCAAAACUUUCAACAACGGAUCUCAGAUCGGAAGAGC
rnacentral:misc_RNA from 1 species